GACGAACGCUGGCGGCGUGCUUAACACAUGCAAGUCGAACGGAAAGGCCCUGCUUUUGUGGGGUGCUCGAGUGGCGAACGGGUGAGUAACACGUGAGUAACCUGCCCUUGACUUUGGGAUAACUUCAGGAAACUGGGGCUAAUACCGGAUAGGAGCUCCUGCUGCAUGGUGGGGGUUGGAAAGUUUCGGCGGUUGGGGAUGGACUCGCGGCUUAUGAGCUUGUUGGUGGGGGAGUUGCUUACCCAGGCUUCGACGGAUAGGCGGCCUGAGAGGGUGACCGGCCACAUGAGGACUGAGGUACGGAGCAGACGGCAACGGGAGGCAGCAGUGGAAAGUAUUGCACAAUGGGCGGGAGCGUGUGACAGAAACGCCGCGUGCGGGAAGACGGCCUUCGGGUGAUAAACCGCUUUCGCCUGUGACGAAGCGUGAGUGACGGUACUGGGUAAAGAAGCACCGGCUAACUACGUG
rnacentral:rRNA from 1 species